rnacentral:rRNA from 1 species
AACUGGAGGGAGAGGUGGGGAUGACGUCAAAUCAUCAUGCCCCUUAUGACCUGGGCUACACACGUGCUACAAUGGGCAGAACAAAGGGCAGCGAAGCCGCGAGGCUAAGCCAAUCCCACAAAUCUGUUCUCAGUUCGGAUCGCAGUCUGCAACUCGACUGCGUGAAGCUGGAAUCGCUAGUAAUCGCGGAUCAGCAUGCCGCGGUGAAUACGUUCCCGGGCCUUGUACACACCGCCCGUCACACCACGAGAGUUUGUAACACCCGAAGUCGGUGAGGUAACCUUUUGGAGCCAGCCGCCGAAGGUGGGACAGAUUAUUGGGGUGAAGUCGUAACAAGAGCCCU